CCUACGGGAGGCAGCAGUGAGGAAUAUUGGACAAUGGGCGCAAGCCUGAUCCAGCCAUGCCGCGUGCAGGAAGAAGCAUCUAUGGUGUGUAAACUGCUUUUGUACAGGAAGAAACACUCCCUCGUGAGGGAGCUUGACGGUACUGUAAGAAUAAGGACCGGCUAACUCCGUGCCAGCAGCCGCGGUAAUACGGAGGGUCCGAGCGUUAUCCGGAAUCAUUGGGUUUAAAGGGUCCGUAGGCGGUUUAAUAAGUCAGUGGUGAAAUCUGGUCGCUCAACGAUCAAACGGCCAUUGAUACUGUUAGACUUGAAUUAUAAGGAAGUAACUAGAAUAUGUAGUGUAGCGGUGAAAUGCUUAGAUACUACAUGGAAUACCAAUUGCGAAGGCAGGUUACUACUUAUGGAUUGACGCUGAUGGACGAAAGCGUGGGGAGCGAACAGGAUUAGAUACCCUGGUAGUCCACGCCGUAAACGAUGGAUACUAGCUGUUCGGAGCAAUCUGAGUGGCUAAGCGAAAGUGAUAAGUAUCCCACCUGGGGAGUACGUUCGCAAGAAUGAAACUCAAAUGAAUUGACCGGNGUGAGAGAGCGAGACGACGACGAGGGAGGAGG
rnacentral:rRNA from 1 species